rnacentral:rRNA from 1 species
GGGGGGGAUUGCGUGGGGGCGCGUCGGCGCCCCAGACCCCUUUGUGAACUCAUACCUUACUGUUGCCUCGGCGCUGGCCGGCCUCCUCACCGAGGCCCCCUGGAAACAGGGAGCAGCCCGCCGGCGGCCAAACAAACUCUUGUUUCUUAGUGAAUCUCUGAGUAAAAAACAUAAUGAAUCAAAACUUUCAACAACGGAUCUCUUGGUUCUGGCAUCGAUGAAGAACGCAGCGAAAUGCGAUAAGUAAUGUGAAUUGCAGAAUUCAGUGAAUCAUCGAAUCUUUGAACGCACAUUGCGCCCUCUGGUAUUCCGGAGGGCAUGCCUGUUCGAGCGUCAUUUCAACCCUCAAGCCCAGCUUGGUGUUGGGGCACCGCCUUUGCAAAAGGGCGGGCCCUGAAAUCUAGUGGCGAGCUCGCCAGGACCCCGAGCGUAGUAGUUAUAUCUCGUUCUGGAAGGCCCUGGCGGUGCCCUGCCGUUAAACCCCCAACUUCUGAAAUUUUGACCUCGGAUCAGGUAGGAAUACCCGCUGAACUUAAGCAUAUCAAUAAGCGGAGGAA